UUCCGCAGUUUCCCAUACCAGCAUCCUGCUUCGCGAGAACUACUCUACGUUGUUCUGGGGGGCUUAGACGAACAUCUGAAUCCGAUAUUGAAGAAGUCUUGCAUCGAUGGACACUGACAAAAUAUAGGCAGACUCGUAUUUAUAAAGAAUUGGGAUAGAAAAUUGAUGGAGGCUCAGUACCAAAAAAAUUAUGAUGUUUGUUUAGGAAUUACUACUGUUUUGUUUAUCUGGAAUGUUGUGUGGGAGUCCAUCAGGAAUUGCUGGUCUGCAGUAAAUUUGUCAGGCUAGGUCAUGAACAUCAAUGAAUCAGAAAAUGUUUUGCAUGGGUGGUGAAUGUUCUGACAGUUUUAACAGUUGUGAUGUGGUGUAUUUCACUUCCACGUAUCAUGUAGAAGUUGGUGACCUGAUACAAUGAACAUGGAAAAAUCACCUUCGCCCACGUUGACGAUGAUACCUGUACCGAAGUGCUGGAAACUAAAAUUAAAUUUUCUUUACAAUUUGGUUUCAGGCUAUCUUUAUAAUUUUUUAAUAGUUUUGCAUAUGUUGAUGAGUCCGCAAGCUCUUAGCUGAUUUCCUCCUUUAGAUACCGCCUGUCGACGAUUUGACAGCCUCACACAAUUAAAGAACGCCAAAGUGAGCUCUUCCGAGCAGAAAAAUGACGGCGUAUCCAUUUAAUUGAAAAUAGGCAAAGAUAACGCGCAAUUCGCGUCCUUGUCUCAAUGGAGAAAUUUUGCCGUGGAGCUUAUAACCGAAAUACCAUUGCAGCUGUUCAAAAUAAGAAAAGUGUAUUAUCAUACAGAUGUUGACUAGCUAAUAAUCCAGAGAUACUUCAACUUGCGAAAUUUCUAGAUGUGUGUGAAGCGCAAUCAGCAUCCUUGUUGAACUGUGAGCUCAAAUCAUGUAUUUUCCUAGAAAUAUCUAGGUUUUUGGAUAAAUAAAUAAAAGA